rnacentral:tRNA from 1 species
GUAUCCUUAGCUCAGCAGGCAGAGCAUCCGGCCCAUAACCGGAAAGUUACUGGUUCGACCCCAGCAGGAUCCA